GGAGACAUGGCCGAGUGGCUGAAGGCGGCGGUUUGCUAAACCGUUGUACGGUCAAAGCCGUACCGCAGGUUCGAAUCCUGCUGUCUCCGCCA
rnacentral:tRNA from 1 species